UCUAAUUCUAAAUCUGGUACUAAGUGCUCUAAGAAAGCUCAAGAGGCUCACUGGUGUUGUGGUGGCCCAGGGCGUCAGUAGUGCCGUGACCUCCAGCAAGCGUAUGGCCUGGCAGUGGAGACUGACUAACCCUAAGUUUCCCCUCAUUGAUGUGCUCAUAGAUCGCGUCUGCGCCCUGAUCCAAGGCACGUUCGAAGAACAGGGCGCCCACUGCGAUGGUGAGGGCCAAGGUGGAAGUUCUGCGGAACAGCAAGGAGUACAGACGAGAAUCGUCGGAGACGACAUGUUGCCUCACUGUCGAACUCGCGCCACUGCCAGAUGUAUUUCUUUAUGUUCCGGUGCCACAUGCAUGCCUGGUACCUGAGGAUGACAGAAGAGGACAUCAGGUCCCCUGGAACUUGAGUUGCAAUUGUAAGCCACCUUGUAGGUGCUGGGAAGCAAAGCUGGGUCCCCUGGAACAGCAUCCAAUGCUCUUAACUGCUGAGCCGUUUCCCAGCCCCCUUUUAAAGGUGUUUUCUUUUGUUUAACUUGC
rnacentral:lncRNA from 1 species